GUGGGGAAUCUUGCGCAAUGGACGAAAGUCUGACGCAGCAACGCCGCGUGGGGGAUGAAGCUUCUCGGAGUGUAAACCCCUUUCGACCCGGACGAAUGCCCGCAAGGGUUUGACGGUACGGGUAUAAGAAGCCCCGGCUAACUACGUGCCAGCAGCCGCGGUAAAACGUAGGGGGCCAGCGUUGCUCGGAAUUACUGGGCGUAAAGGGUCCGUAGGCGGUGUGGCAAGUCGGAAGUGAAAUCUCUGGGCUUAACCCAGAGGCUGCUCCCGAAACUGCCAUGCUAGAGUGCGAGAGAGGCGAGUGGAAUUGCGGGUGUAGCGGUGAAAUGCGUAGAUAUCCGCAGGAACAUCCGAGGCGAAGGCGGCUCGCUGGAUCGCAACUGACGCUGAGGGACGAAAGCUAGGGGAGCAAACAGGAUUAGAUACCCUUGUAGUCC
rnacentral:rRNA from 1 species